rnacentral:rRNA from 1 species
AUUGAACGCUGGCGGCAGGCCUCAUACAUGCAAGUCGAGCGGAAACGAUGGAGCUUGCUCCAGGUGUCGAGCGCGGACGGGUGAGUAACGCGUAGGAAUCUGCCCAGUAGUGGGGGAUAGCCCGGGGAAACUCGGAUUAAUACCGCAUACGCCCUACGGGGGAAAGCAGGGGAUCUUCGGACCUUGCGCUAUUGGAUGAGCCUGCGUUGGAUUAGCUUGUUGGUAGGGUAAUGGCCUACCAAGGCGACGAUCCAUAGCUGGUCUGAGAGGAUGAUCAGCCACACUGGGACUGAGACACGGCCCAGACUCCUACGGGAGGCAGCAGUAGGGAAUAUUGGACAAUGGGCGCAAGCCUGAUCCAGCCAUGCCGCGUGUGUGAAGAAGGCCCUCGGGUUGUAAAGCACUUUAAGCAGGGAGGAAGGCCUUAAGGUUAAUACCCUUAAGGAUUGACGUUACCUGCAGAAUAAGCACCGGCUAACUCCGUG